GUGCUGGCUUCGGCAGCACACACACUAAAACUGGAACAUACAGAGAAGAUCAGCAGGGCCCCGCGCAAGGACGACACGUAAAUGGUGAGGCGUUCCAUAUUUUU